GGAAUAUUGCACAAUGGGGGGAACCCUGAUGCAGCAACGCCGCGUGGACGAAGAAGGCCUUCGGGUCGUAAAGUCCUUUUCUAAGGGAAGAUAGUGAAGGUACCUUAGGAAUAAGUCCCGGCUAACUACGUGCCAGCAGCCGCGGUAAAACGUAGGGGGCGCGCGUUAUCCGGAUUUAUUGGGCGUAAAGCGCGCGUAGGCGGCGUGAUAAGUUGGACGUGAAAGCUCCCGGCUCAACUGGGAGAGGACGUACAAAACUGUCAGGCUUGAGGGUAGAAGAGGAGAGCAGAAUUCCCGGUGUAGUGGUGGAAUGCGUAGAUAUCGGGAGGAAUACCAGUGGCGAAGGCGGCUCUCUGGUCUACGCCUGACGCUGAGGUGCGAAAGCGUGGGGAGCGAAC
rnacentral:rRNA from 1 species